rnacentral:rRNA from 1 species
UACAGAGGUCUCAAGCGUUGUUCGGAUUCAUUGGGCGUAAAGGGUGCGUAGGUGGCGGGGUAAGUCAGGUGUGAAAUUUCGGGGCUCAACCCCGAAACUGCACUUGAUACUGCCUUGCUCGAGUACUGGAGAGGAGAUUGGAAUUUACGGUGUAGCAGUGAAAUGCGUAGAUAUCGUAAGGAAGACCAGUGGCGAAGGCGAAUCUCUGGACAGUUACUGACACUGAGGCACGAAGGCCAGGGGAGCAAACGGG